rnacentral:tRNA from 1 species
GCUGGGGUCGGGCAUUCGGUAAGCCCCGUCGUCUUAAAAACGACUUCCCUCGCAGGAUUGCGGGUUCAAAUCCCGUCCCCAGCG